UACGUAGGGUGCGAGCGUUGUCCGGAAUUACUGGGCGUAAAGAGCUCGUAGGCGGUUUGUCGCGUCGUCCGUGAAAACUUGGGGCUCAACCCCAAGCUUGCGGGCGAUACGGGCAGACUUGAGUACUGCAGGGGAGACUGGAAUUCCUGGUGUAGCGGUGAAAUGCGCAGAUAUCAGGAGGAACACCGGUGGCGAAGGCGGGUCUCUGGGCAGUAACUGACACUGAGGUGCGAAAGCGUGGGGAGCAAACAGG
rnacentral:rRNA from 1 species